GCCGGGGUGGCGGAACUGGCAGACGCACAGGACUUAAAAUCCUGCGGUGAGUGAUCACCGUACCGAUUCGAUUCCGGUCCUCGGCACCA
rnacentral:tRNA from 2 species